AUGCGUGCUGCGACCCCUGGCCUGCCAGCAGGAGCGGAGCGCGCGCCUGGGGGAAUCUUCGGUGCGCCAAGUCUGUUCGCCGCCCGGGUCUAUCACCCCCGCCCCUCGCCUCUGCCCGCGCGCGUGUGAGUUGUAGCGUCCCCUGGGUUCUGUUCUGGAGGAGGCCUGAGAGCGGGGUUGCCUGGGGGGUGGGGCCCUCACCCCUCUCGUCGUGGUGAAGAGGCGUAUACCCAGCGGGUGAGUACCGCCCGCGAGCUCCCGGUUGAGCUGGCGUCCCCGGGGAGGACGCUGCGGGGCGCCGCCGUGGGAAGAGCGUGGAGGACGCAGCGUGGAGGCGCGAGGCCGUAGGACGCCAGCCAGCCAGUUGCGCGGGUUGCGGCGCACUGGGACCUACUUUAUGCUUUCCGUCGUCCCUGCCUUGCUAGGAAAAGAGAACAUUCCUCCUUGUGAUAUUGGGUACCUGGCUCUCUCCUGAAGACGCUGCUUUCCCAGCAAUUCACCACAGCGAAAGUCUGCCACCGCCCCCGCGGCGCAGGUGGUAUCUGUAUUUGUUGUCUUAUGGCCAUUGCUAGGCCAUUCCAUUCCACCCUUGUAAACCUUAGCAGAAACUCUUCUCUAAUGAGCCCUUUUCCCUCUCCUCACUGUUAUUUACCAGCUGCCUGGUCACUCAUGUUCAUUAAGGAAUUUAGUACCCAACUCAGUUUUUUUUUUUUUUUUUUUUUGGGACGGAGCCUCUAUCAGCCCAGUUUGGAGUACAGUGGUGCAAUCUUAGCUUGCCGCAACCUCCGCCUCCCAGUUUAUCCUGUAAUGACAGUAGCAUUUACAGAAAGUUUCUGUUGGAAAUAGAAAAAAAAAAAA
rnacentral:lncRNA from 1 species